CAGCCGCCGCGGGAACACGUAGGUGGCAAGCGUUGUCCGGAAUUAUUGGGCGUAAAGGGCUCGCAGGCGGUUUCUUAAGGCUGAUGUGAAAGCCCCCGGCUCAACCGGGGAGGGUCAUUGGAAACUGGGAAACUUGAGUGCAGAAGAGGAGAGUGGAAUUCCACGUGUAGCGGUGAAAUGCGUAGAGAUGUGGAGGAACACCAGUGGCGAAGGCGACUCUCUGGUCUGUAACUGACGCUGAGGAGCGAAAGCGUGGGGAGCGAACAGGAUUAGAUACCCCUGUAGUCCCUGUCUCUUAUAC
rnacentral:rRNA from 1 species